AACACUUGUUUUAGAUUAUUAAGUACACCUGUUUGCUGCUAAAUGACCUCUGUGGAUUGGCCAACUGCACAAUAAAUAUCGGAUCAGCUUGACACCUAAUUAUACCUUCUGAGGAAACCGCUAUACGCUGACAGCGGAGAAACGCGUAAAGGCUACCCCUGUGAGGACCACAACACUGUUCCAGGCUCUGUCUCCACUGUUCCACUGCCAGUCUACAGCCGCGCUCAUUUCCACGUGUACCCUGAGAAACAUCUCAUCAGCUCGCUCCUAAUUGUGGAGUACGGAGCACGGGCUGACAGGGACGCUGUGAGCGGCGCUGCUGACAGCCGCUCUCCCUCUCUUCAUACGGCAUUUGGAUCCAGAGAGGUGUAUGCUCCUUCUCCCUCCGCUGCACCAGAUAUUGGGAAGUUUAUUGCUAUUGAACUCCAGCAGCGUGAAUUAAGGACGGCUGGUACGCAAACUACCUAACCAAGAGGUCUGCAAAUGAUCCCUAUCCUGGCUGGCAGUCAGGGGUCUAUGUAUGUAUAAAGGAAUUUGGAACAUAUGGAAGAAAGAACAGGAUAUUUUCAUUCUCUCUUACUAAUAUACCUCUGCAAGACUCUGCUUGCCUGCCUGCUGGGGCCAUCCCC